rnacentral:rRNA from 1 species
GACGAACCGUCCAAACGUUAUUCGGAAUCACUGGGCUUAAAGGGUGCGUAGGCGGCGCGGAAAGUUGGGUGUGAAAUACCUCGGCUCAACCGAGGAACUGCGCCCAAAACUACCGUGCUCGAGGGAGAUAGAGGUGAGCGGAACUUAGGGUGGAGCGGUGAAAUGCGUUGAUAUCCUAAGGAACACCGGCGGCGAAAGCGGCUCACUGGAUCUCUUCUGACGCUGAGGCACGAAAGCUAGGGUAGCGAACGGG